rnacentral:rRNA from 1 species
CAAACUGGAGAUGGCGACCGGCGCACGGGUGAGUAACACGUAUCCAACCUGCCGAUAACUCGGGGAUAGCCUUUCGAAAGAAAGAUUAAUACCCGAUGGCAUAAUAGAACCGCAUGGUUUGACUAUUAAAGAAUUUCGGUUAUCGAUGGGGAUGCGUUCCAUUAGGCAGUUGGUGGGGUAACGGCCCACCAAACCUUCGAUGGAUAGGGGUUCUGAGAGGAAGGUCCCCCACAUUGGAACUGAGACACGGUCCAAACUCCUACGGGAGGCAGCAUG